rnacentral:rRNA from 1 species
UGAGGAAUAUUGGGCAAUGCCCGCAAGGGUGACCCAGCAACGCCGCGUGGAGGAUGAAUGUCGUAAGAUUGUAAACUCCUGUUAGAGGGGAAGAAUAGUACCGGUUGGACCGGUAUAUGACUGUACCCUCAGAGAAAGCCCCGGCUAACUACGUGCCAGCAGCCGCGGUAAUACGUAGGGGGCAAGCGUUGUCCGGAUUUACUGGGUGUAAAGGGCGCGCAGGCGGGAUAAAAAGUCAGUGGUGAAAUCCUACAGCUUAACUGUAGAACUGCCUUUGAUACUUUUAUUCGUGAGGUCGGGAGAGAGAGACGGAAUUCCAGGUGUAGUGGUGAAAUACGUAGAUAUCUGGAAGAACACCAGUUGCGAAGGCGGUCUCUUGGUCCGACACUGACGCUGAGGCGCGAAAGCGUGGGGAGCAAACA